CUGUAUCAACGUUAAUAAAACAGUAUUUAAAAAGGCUCCGUAAUGUUAGCCAACUAACAAAUUACUAUUGCUAUCCUAGCAUAUCAACUAACAGCUAGAAAAAACCAAAACACGUACCUUCGUAGUCAAACUGGUAUCAGUCAGCGAGGAAUUUGUCCAGUUUAGAUUAUGUUGAUGAAGAAAAACUGUUUGCAAAUAGUGAUAUAUCUUCAAAUCGUAUUUGUGGCAGCUGCUUUAGAGUCCAGAAACAGCGUUAACUACACACACCGGAACUGAAGAUACACUGCUUCUAGUCAAAACGGAUGUUGUCUGACGUCAUGUG